rnacentral:rRNA from 1 species
UACGAAGGGAGCUAGCGUUGUUCGGAAUUACUGGGCGUAAAGGGCGCGUAGGCGGUGUGUCAAGUCAGGCGUGAAAGCCCCGGGCUCAACCUGGGAACAGCGCUUGAGACUGGCACGCUCGAGUUCGGGAGAGGAUGGUGGAAUUCCCGGUGUAGCGGUGAAAUGCGCAGAUAUCGGGAGGAACACCGGUGGCGAAGGCGGUUCUCUGGGCCUUACCUGACGCUGAGGAGCGAAAGCGUGGGGAGCGAACAGG